rnacentral:misc_RNA from 1 species
GAAAUGCGAUAAGUAAUGUGAAUUGCAGAAUUCAGUGAAUCAUCGAAUCUUUGAACGCAUCUUGCGCUCCUUGGUAUUCCUUGGAGCAUGCCUGUUUGAGUAUCAUGAAAUCUUCAAAGUAAAUCUUUUGUUAACUCAAUUGGUUUCUACUUUGGUAUUGGAGGUCUUUGCAGCUUCACACCUGCUCCUCUUUGUUCAUUAGCUGGAUCUCAGUGUUAUGCUUGGUUCCACUCGGCGUGAUAAGUUAUCUAUCGCUGAGGACACUGUAAAAGGUGGCCAAGGUAAAUGCAGAUGAACCGCUUCUAAUAGUCCAUUGAUUUGGACAAUACUUUUAUGAUCUGAUCUCAAAUCAGGUAGGACUACCCGCUGAACUUAAGC